UGAUGCAGCCAUGCCGCGUGUGUGAAGAAGGCCUUCGGGUUGUAAAGCACUUUCAGCGAGGAGGAAAGGUUAGUAGUUAAUAACUGCUAGCUGUGACGUUACUCGCAGAAGAAGCACCGGCUAACUCCGUGCCAGCAGCCGCGGUAAUAAUCACU
rnacentral:rRNA from 1 species